AGUAAAACGUAAAUAAAAGCUUAUGAAUUCUGAUACAGUAGCGAAUUCACAUCAGAAACAGUGUCUCGCCCCAACUAGUGGUAUGAAAGGUUCAUGAAAAUUUUGGGUAUGGGAGAUUUGUUACGAACUUUAAGGCGGCAUUAUUGGCGGAAAGAGGAUCAAGGUGGCAGGCAGCCUUUUGCCGGAUAGCAAUUGAAUAUUC